rnacentral:rRNA from 1 species
GAUGAACGCUGGCGGCGUGCCUAAUACAUGCAAGUCGAGCGAACAGACGAGGAGCUUGCUCCUCUGACGUUAGCGGCGGACGGGUGAGUAACACGUGGAUAACCUACCUAUAAGACUGGGAUAACUUCGGGAAACCGGAGCUAAUACCGGAUAAUAUAUUGAACCGCAUGGUUCAAUAGUGAAAGACGGUUUUGCUGUCACUUAUAGAUGGAUCCGCGCCGCAUUAGCUAGUUGGUAAGGUAACGGCUUACCAAGGCAACGAUGCGUAGCCGACCUGAGAGGGUGGUCGGCCACACUGGAACUGAGACACGGUCCAGACUCCUACGGGAGGCAGCAGUAGGGAAUCUUCCGCAAUGGGCGAAAGCCUGACGGAGCAACGCCGCGUGAGUGAUGAAGGUCUUCGGAUCGUAAAACUCUGUUAUUAGGGAAGAACAAAUGUGUAAGUAACUAUGCACGUCUUGACGGUACCUAAUCAGAAAGCAACGGCUAACUACGUG